UACGGAGGGGGCUAGCGUUGCUCGGAAUCACUGGGCGUAAAGCGCACGUAGGCGGCUUUUUAAGUCAGGGGUGAAAUCCCGAGGCUCAACCUCGGAACUGCCUUUGAUACUGGGGAUCUCGAGUCCGGGAGAGGUGAGUGGAACUGCGAGUGUAGAGGUGAAAUUCGUAGAUAUUCGCAAGAACACCAGUGGCGAAGGCGGCUCACUGGCCCGGAACUGACGCUGAGGUGCGAAAGCGUGGGGAGCAAACGGGG
rnacentral:rRNA from 1 species